GAGGGUGGCGCUCAGUGGCAGAGCACGUGCUUAGCACGCAUGAGGUCCUGGGUUCCAUCCCCAGUACCUCCA
rnacentral:tRNA from 1 species